UACGUAGGGUCGCAGCGUUGUCGGAAUCAUUGGGCGUAAAGCGGGUGUAGGUGGCUUUAUAAGUCAGAUGUGAAAGCCCUGGGCUUAACCCAGGAAGUGCAUUUGAUACUGUAAAGCUUGAGUGCUGGAGAGGUUACUGGAAUACCUGGUGUAGUGGUGAAAUACGUAGAUAUCAGGUGGAACACCGGUGGCGAAGGCGGGUAACUGGCCAGACACUGACACUCAAACCCGAAAGCGUGGGGAUCAAACAGG
rnacentral:rRNA from 1 species